AAUCAACGCUGGCGGCGUGCCUAACACAUGCAAGUCGCACGAGAAAGGGACUUCGGUCCUGAGUACAGUGGCGCACGGGUGAGUAACACGUGAAUAAUCUACCUCCGAGUGGGGAAUAACUGAGAGAAAUCUUAGCUAAUACCGCAUAACACUUACGAGUCAAAGCAGCAAUGCGCUUGGAGGGGAGUUCGCGGCAGAUUAGUUAGUUGGCAGGGUAAUGGCCUACCAAGACGAUGAUCUGUAUCCGGCCUGAGAGGGCGCACGGACACACUGGAACUGAAACACGGUCCAGACUCCUACGGGGGGCUGCAGUAACGAAUCUUCCGCAAUGCACGAAAGUGUGACGGAGCGACGCCGCGUGUAGGACGAA
rnacentral:rRNA from 1 species